rnacentral:rRNA from 1 species
GGGGAAUAUUGCACAAUGGGCGAAAGCCUGAUGCAGCGACGCCGCGUGCGGGAUGAAGGCCUUCGGGUUGUAAACCGCUUUUAAUUGGGAGCAAGCGAGAGUGAGUGUACCUUUUGAAUAAGCACCGGCUAACUACGUGCCAGCAGCCGCGGUAAUACGUAGGGUGCAAGCGUUAUCCGGAAUUAUUGGGCGUAAAGAGCUCGUAGGCGGUUUGUCACGCCUGGUGUGAAAGUCCAUCGCUUAACGGUGGAUCUGCGCCGGGUACGGGCAGGCUAGAGUGCAGUAGGGGAGAUUGGAAUUCCCGGUGUAACGGUGGAAUGUGUAGAUAUCGGGAAGAACACCAAUGGCGAAGGCAGAUCUCUGGGCUG